GUGUUCGAUGAUGAUUUUUAUUUGUAUGCCUGAUUUCCUUUCGGAUAGUGAAGGCAUCUUUAGUCACUACCUCUUCUGAGACAC
rnacentral:snoRNA from 8 species